CAGCGACUCCGCCGCUGACCGUCGUCUCGAUCGCCACGACGCCUUGGCUUGACAUCGAUACAAACAUGACCGAGGGAGACAAUGACAGGUUUAGCGGUUACAUCAAAGAUGUACUUGACGAGAUCGCGAAGCGACAAGAUUUUGAAUACGAUCUAUCACUCGUCCGAGAUGGAAGGUAUGGAACACUGGGAGACAACGGAGAGUGGUCAGGCAUGAUAGGAGAGGUCGUG